rnacentral:lncRNA from 1 species
ACUUCAUCUCAAAAUAAAAAUAAAGAAGUGACCUCCAGCUAACACAACAGCCUAAGAACUUUCUUCAGUUUGUCUCUCCAGGAAGGAUGAGCACCUCCACACUCAAGGUUUGACUAUGUUGAAGCUACAUCAUUGAUCAUCAAAUCAGAAGAAACAAGGAGUUGUUUUAGUCUUCACUGGAAGCACACCUAUGUGACCUUGAGCAAGUGUAUUCAGCCAUUCUUGGUCUCCCUUUCCCCAUCUGUAAAAUGUGUGGUUUGUUGAUGACUGGUCUGUGGAUCUGUUGCAUCAGAAUCACCUGGAAAGCUGUUGAAAAUGCUAAUUUUCAGGUCCUAGCCCACUCACGAAUAUCUUUGCAGUUGGGCCAGGGUAUCUGUAGUUUCAUACACACACAGACACACAAGUGUGUGCGUGCACGCACAUACAUACAGAGUCACUCCCAAGUGACUUGGAUCCACAGCAGGGUUUGGGACACACUGGAUUAAACAAUCUUCCUGCUUGCCUGAAUUCAGAGGCAAAAAAAUAGCCCUGGGAAGUAUCCUUUAAUAGAAGGCCAGGAAAAAGGAUCAGCCUCUUUGCAGAAGCAGGUUUGGUGCUUCAGGGAGCUACCAAGACUAUCUUCUUAAGAAACAAUCCCCACUUCCCAGGCUUCUCUUUCAUUCUACCUGGGCAUUCAGUGUAUAAUGCAUAUGUAGCCUACAAAGUCAAAGAACUGGCUUUCUGUGCAUUUUAUUUAAAUUAGUUUUAAGGAAAGUGGUUAAAGAGGAGAACUGAGGUAAAUGAAAGUUAAUCCACUUAUUUUACUUGCACUCUGCCUUUUAAGAAACCCUCUUAACUAUAUUCUGAGUGCCAAUAAAUAACAAGGAAAUAUUAGCAAGUUGAUUUUGUCUGUGAUUUCUGCAACUUUCUGUUUUAAUUGACAGAACCUCAAGAGCUGAAAAAAGGAAUCAUAUAAUCAAGACAGAUUAUAGAUCAAAUAAUUUUAUUAAAUGAGAAAACUGAAGAAAAUCAAAAUGCAAACAGGCAAUACCAUUACAUAAAAAUUUGACUCAAUUAAUAAUGAGUCACUCCACAUCACAAUUGUUUGAGGCACCAGUUUUCCUGCAUUUACAGAUAAAGAAACUGAGGUCAAAUGCACAAGAUUUCAUAGAGUAGGUGACAUAGAAAUUCAGUCCAGGUCCAAGGUCUCUAAUGCCACGUUCCAGAGAUGUUUUUAGCAGGCUUAUUUAUGAACCAGAAAUAGUAUAUAAAUGUUUAGGGAAUAUACUACACAUCUACUUGAUGUAUGCAGUCAUUAAAAUGGAUAAGCACCCUUACAUCCUGCAGAUGAGAGAAUAAAUUGGUACCAUUGAGCCAGGUGCAGUGGCUCUUGCCCAUAGUCUGAACUACUCGGGAGGCUGAAGUGGGAGGAUUGCUUGAGCCCAGGAGUAUGAGGCUGCAGUGAGCUGUGAUUGCACUACUGCAUUCCAGCCUGGGCAACAAAGCGAGACCCGCCUCUUAAAAAAACAAAAAUAAAAAUAAAAAAUAACUGAUACAAUCAUUCCAGAAAGCAAUUUAGCAAUCUCCAUAAAGUGUCUUUUCAAAGUUCAUACUCUUUGCCCCAGUAAUUCACUCUCUGGGAACUUAUCCUAAGGUAAUAAUCAGAAAUUUGGCAAGAGGCUUAUUUGCAAAACUGUGCAUUAAAACAGUACUUUAAAAAAUGAAAAACCUAGAAGGAAACUAAAGGUUCCAAAUUAAUGAGUUAGAUAAGUGAUAGCUCUUUAUAUGUUAUAAUAUCACAUAAAUACAAAAAAAUGGUGUUCUAAUAGUGUAGGAAACUAUUUAUAAUAUUUUAAGGAAAAGGACAUGAUCAAAAUAUUGUAUGUAUACUAUGAUCCCAAUUUUGUUGAAAGAAAAAUGUGUGCAUGUGUAAAGAAAACAGGACUGAAAAGAAAUACAUUAGCAUAUUUAAAGUGUCUUAAAAUGUAAAAGAGUGUUAAGGUGGUUCUCUCUCUAUGGUGAAAUUAGAGUUCAUUCUUUAGUCUCUUCUUUGAGCCUUUCAGAAUUUUGAAUUCUCGUUAGUAAGAAACAAACCACUUUUAUGAUCAGAAGGAACACAAUGUAAUUUUUGAGAGAAAUGAAAACUGCAGAUUAUAAAAAAGUAAUAACAGAAAAAUCCUAUGAUAUGUUUAGUAAAAAAAUAAAAAUUGCAUACACAGUAGAGUUUAUGAAGAUAUGCACAUAAAUAAUUAUAACUCUGCAGAGGAAGGAUUAGAUGAAAGCACAACAAAAUAUUAAAGAUGUUUGGGUUUAAAUGGCA